rnacentral:rRNA from 1 species
GACGAACGCUGGCGGCGUGCUUAACACAUGCAAGUCGAACGGUAAGGCCCUUCGGGGUACACGAGUGGCGAACGGGUGAGUAACACGUGGGUGAUCUGCCCUGCACUUUGGGAUAAGCCUGGGAAACUGGGUCUAAUACCGGAUAGGACCACUGCCUGCAUGGGUGGUGGUGGAAAGCUUUUGCGGUGUGGGAUGGGCCCGCGGCCUAUCAGCUUGUUGGUGGGGUGAUGGCCUACCAAGGCGACGACGGGUAGCCGGCCUGAGAGGGUGACCGGCCACACUGGGACUGAGAUACGGCCUAGACUCCUACGGGAGGCAGCAGUGGGGAAUAUUGCACAAUGGGCGCAAGCCUGAUGCAGCGACGCCGCGUGAGGGAUGACGGCCUUCGGGUUGUAAACCUCUUUCAGCACCGACGAAGCGCAAGUGACGGUGCCUACAGAAGAAGGACCGGCCAACUACGUGCCAGCCGCCGCCGUAA